rnacentral:tRNA from 1 species
GAGGGUACAGCUCAGUGGAGGAGGGUGUGCUUAGCAUGCACGAGGUCCUGGGUUCAAUUCCCAGUACCUCCA